rnacentral:piRNA from 1 species
UGGUAAUGAUCAAUUUCAAAAAGGACACAA